AAAUCAAUCAGCCUCAUAAAAAUUGGGCCACCAGCCCAAAAUGACACCCCUUUCUCUUCUCCCUUGACCCAACCCAUCAGCCCAACAAGCUGAAAUCGAACCGGACCAUACCCUUUUUCCUCUGUUCCCAUUUUACCCGUACCAAUCCAACACCAGUAGCCAACAACACUCCAAAACGUGAUAACAAACACCGACAACUCCAACGUUAACAGCUAACAACACUGCUUGCAAGCAGUGUACAAACACCAACAACAAAACAGCGAUGGUACCACCUUCAACCCGUCGACAACGACGAACUCGGUGACCCAAAAUCUGAACCCGUCGAGUCAGCAAUCGACGACCCAACCAGCUCAACCAGAAAUGCCAACAACCCCAACCACCCGUCCAGCUCAGCAAUAACGUUCAGAUUCUGUAUAAAUUCCAGCUCUUCUUAUCUCAAUUUUGAAAUUCAAAUUUCUAACUCUUUUUCCCUUUUUACCCCUCCAUUCCCCCUAAAAUCAGUCUCAAAUCUCCGGAAGGAGCAUUCCUCUAAUCCCACGUAACCAAAGAAUUCGAGAAGAAACAUAUUUGGAAAAUCAAUUCCGAGGAAACGAAAAAAAGAAGAAAAGUGAAAAUUCCAACAAAAAUUACUUCGGAUUCCGGCGAAAUUAUUUAAUUCCAGCGAAAUUAACUGAACUCCGGUGUUAAAGUCCAUUUUAAAGAGCUCGUCCGUCUCAGUUCCUGCCCCCGAAAAGAGUUCGAUAGGACUCCCAUUCCUUCGCAUUCGCUGUUCGUCGAGUCGAGCCUCAUUAAAGUCCAAAUUUGGACGGAUAUACACAGGAUCACACAAGUAUCCAAGAUGGUAUACAAUGAUAUACAGCGGGUAUCCAUUGAAAGUCGUAGCUGCAUACCAUCAUACAGUGUACAAUUAAAAAUGGAGAGAGAAUAUGCUUAUUUCUACGUUGAUAUACAGUAUAUACGUGGAAAUAUACCGAAAAAUGCAAGGAUGAAGGGCUGUGAUAUACCGUCAGUAUACAGCUAGGUAUACACUGCAGAAAUGGACCAAAAGUCCAUAAAGAAUGGACCUAAAAGCUGGGCAGCUUUAUUGAUGGGCCAAUUAAAGGCCCAAAUUUUAAUUCUUCUUAUUCAUUUCCUUGUAAAUCCUAUUUUAUUAUGUGCUUGUAUUAAUUAUUAAUUUGGUUAGCCUUUAUAAAUCCUCUUUUGAAUCA